GACGAACGCUGGCGGCGUGCCUAAUACAUGCAAGUCGAGCAAACCCGGGGUGCUUGCACCCUGAGGGUUAGCGGCGGACGGGUGAGUAACACGUGGGGAACCUGCCUUGCUGUCUGGGAUAACACCGGGAAACCGGUGCUAAUACCGGAUGUCCCCUUUCCGGCACCUGCCGGAGAGGGAAAAGGCGGCUUUGAGCCGCCGCAGCAAGGGGGGCCCGCGGCGCAUUAGUUAGUUGGCAGGGUAACGGCCUCCCAAGGCGACGAUGCGUAGCCGACCUGAGAGGGUGAUCGGCCACACUGGGACUGAGACACGGCCCAGACUCCUACGGGAGGCAGCAGUAGGGAAUCAUCCGCAAUGGACGAAAGUCUGACGGUGCAACGCCGCGUGAGUGAUGAAGGUUUUCGGAUCGUAAAGCUCUGUUGUGAGGGAAGAAUAGGAUGGGGAGGAAAUGCCCGAUCUGUGACGGUACCUCACCAGAAAGCCCCGGCUAACUACGUGCCAGCAGCCGCCGUAC
rnacentral:rRNA from 1 species